CCUUUUAAAAAGUAGUAUAUAGAGGCUAGAAUCCUUAGGAUCCCAUUUGGGCCAAUUUGUAUUGAGAUCUUAUAAAAACUCAGUUGAUAUAUAUUAUGAUUCAUUUGUCACUAAGAUAGUGCCUGCCUAAAUGUAUUUAAGCUGCUUAAAUUGCUCCCUAUGAGACCGCGUUGACUGUCCUAACAAGUUGUUUUGUUUUGUUUUAAUUCAGAAACGCAUGAUACGGUCUUCUGAGAAGGUUGCAUUUCAACUUGAUUUAUUUCUAGUGCAAGAAUGCAAGUUCCUGGAUUCUGUUUGUACUACAUGCUUCCUUGCCUUCACCUCUAGUUCAGUAUCACCACCCCUCUUGGAAGUAUAUGAGGGGGAAUGCCAUUUUACACCCAAGGACAGUGAGGGUUAGCUUGUGCAAGAUCACUCAGUGAGAAGCAAGUGCAAGAUAAAAGCCUUCACUCCUUAAAGAGUAGUACUUUUCUCAUCAGCACAGAACCAAAAGAGGCCACGCGUAUGAGACUCCAAACAUUCUUAUUUUGAAGGUGAUUACUCGAAAUGUAAGACCUGAGCUAUGGAGGCUGUUUAUAUCGGUAACCCAACCAAUGGCCGCCUGCUUUAAAUUUGCUCAAAAUCCCCAAGGCAAGUCCUGAGCCCUGUCUCCUAUGUUUUAUGCAGAGACACCUCAAAGUAUAUUUUGCCAGACUACAAGAAUAGUGAGGCCUGCCAGAUCAGAUUUUCCCAGUUACCAGAAGCUUCUCACCUCACCUCUACUUCAGCCUCUCUGAGUCAUAACCAGUCACCCUAAAACCUAGCUUCUCUGCACUUUCUGAAUAUGGAAAUGACAGUCCUGACUUAUGACACCAGGACCUGUUAAAAAGAUUGAUUUUGUAAGAAAAAUUGCAUAACUAAAGGCACCAUGGAAAGGACCGCUGAGGAGAAAAACUAGGGGACUUGUGAUAACUUCCAAAGAACAAAGCCCUCACAGGCGAGGGUGAGGGCCUUAGCACAGUCUUUUCACAGAGAUGAAGAAUCGGAAGUCUAACCAGUGGCUCACCUCAGGAGGUGAUUUUAAUUGUCAUUUUCCAUAUGUUUUGUGGAGAAUUAAAAUGAUGAAAGGUAUUUCAGACGGCAGUAAUCAUGGCCACGUAACUUGGUGUUCUGCAGCUCUGGCAACUGACAAACC